ACAUUUGGUAAAACCGGAAAAACCAAUAUCCAGAAGAUCUUGAUGUGCUGACGCCCUGACAUUAUCGUAUUGGUGAUUCUCUUAUCUCUAUUCCUGAGCCGAACCUCACGCAUCUAAACUGCAAUCGUUUAGAUCGCUUGCAGCAGUUACAACACCGAGCGAAGUGGCGUAAACCAUACCCAAACAUUGAAGUCAAUGACAUCGUAUGCAUCAAAGACGAAAAUUCAGCUCCUCUCAAAUGGCCCUUGGCUCGUGUUACAGAAGUUGUCACUGGGACAGACGGGGUAGCAAGAGUAGCCGUUCUUCGUACGUCAACCGGCAUGACGCGCCGAACUCUUAACAAACUUUGCGUUUUACCUGUCAAUGAUUCUUUGGAAAGUUAGACCUUUUAACGGGUGAAGAAUGUUCGGAGCAGCUACUUUCACGAUGGAACUACCAUUAAUGAGUAGCAUCAAUCCUAAGUUAUUAUUUAUACUUAAGUUAACUAAAUCUAUACGCACACAUAUAUUCCACCUACUGUGGUGAG
rnacentral:lncRNA from 1 species